rnacentral:rRNA from 1 species
UACGAAGGGGGCUAGCGUUGUUCGGAAUUACUGGGCGUAAAGAGCGCGUAGGUGGUUUGUAAAGUUGGGAGUGAAGGCCCAGGGCUUAACCCUGGAAAUGCUCUCAAAACUCACAAACUAGAGAUUGGUAGAGGAUGGCGGAAUUCCUAGUGUAGAGGUGAAAUUCGUAGAUAUUAGGAGGAACACCGGUGGCGAAGGCGGCCAUCUGGGCCAAUACUGAUACUGAGGCGCGAAAGCGUGGGGAGCAAACAGG